UACGUAGGGUGCAAGCGUUGUUCGGAAUUAUUGGGCGUAAAGGGUGUGUAGGCGGUGCGGUAAGUUUGGUGUGAAAUCUCUCGGCUCAACUGGGAGGGUGCGCCGGAAACUGGAGUGCUGGAGCGCGGGAGGGGAGAGCGGAAUUCCUGGUGUAGCGGUGAAAUGCGUAGAUAUCAGGAGGAACACCGGCGGUGUAGACGGCUUUCUGGACCGUAGCUGACGCUGAGACACGAAAGCGUGGGUAGCAAACAGG
rnacentral:rRNA from 1 species